rnacentral:rRNA from 1 species
UACGGAGAGGGCGAGCGUUGUUCGGAAUCACUGGGCGUAAAGGGCGCGUAGGUGGUCUUGUAAGUUGGAAGUGAAAUCCUAGGGCUUAACCCUAGUGCUGCUUCCAAUACUGCUUGACUGGAGUGUAAAGUAGGGUAGCGGAAUUCCUAGUGUAGAGGUGAAAUUCGUAGAUAUUAGGAGGAACACCGGCGGCGAAGGCGGCUACCUGGGUUACUACUGACACUGAGGCGCGAAAGCGUGGGGAGCAAACAGG